GUUUUACUCCCUCCGUCUGGAGAUACUUGUCGGAGAAAUGCAUAAAAAUAAAUGUAUCUAAAACUAAAACUAAAUACAUCUAAAUUCAUUCAUUCCUCUGACAAGUAUUUCUAGACGGAGGGAGUAUUAU
rfam:Triticum aestivum genome assembly, contig: Triticum_aestivum_CS42_TGACv1_scaffold_500512_6BL